CAUUGAUACACCAGUCUCCAUACCAUCACUGAAGUUAAGCAAUGUUGAGCCUAGUUAGUACCUCGAUGGAUGACCGCUUGCGAAUACCAGGUGCU